GUCAGGAUAGCUCAGUUGGUAGAGCAGAGGACUGAAA
rnacentral:tRNA from 3 species